AUGAACGCUGGCGGCGUGCCUAAUACAUGCAAGUCGAACGAGUUCUCCCUAAAUCUUUUGAUGCUUGCAUUAAAAGAUUUAGGAUUCGGAACGAGUGGCGAACUGGUGAGUAACACGUGGGUAACCUGCCCUGAAGUGGGGGAUAACAUUUGGAAACAAAUGCUAAUACCGCAUAAUUAGUUGAAACCACAUGGUUUCAACUUGAAAGAUGGCUCUGCUAUCACUUUAGGACGGACCCGCGUCUGAUUAGGUAGUUGGUGAGGUAACGGCCCACCAAGCCGACGAUCAGUAGCCGACCUGAGAGGGUGACCGGCCACAUUGGGACUGAGACACGGCCCAGACUCCUACGGAGGCAGCAGUGGGAAUAUUCACAAUGGGCGAAAGCCUGAUGCAGCGACGCCGCGUG
rnacentral:rRNA from 1 species